AUUGAACGCUGGCGGCAUGCCUUACACAUGCAAGUCGAACGGCAGCACGGGUGCUUGCACCUGGUGGCGAGUGGCGAACGGGUGAGUAAUACAUCGGAACAUGUCCUGUAGUGGGGGAUAGCCCGGCGAAAGCCGGAUUAAUACCGCAUACGAUCCACGGAUGAAAGCGGGGGACCUUCGGGCCUCGCGCUAUAGGGUUGGCCGAUGGCUGAUUAGCUAGUUGGUGGGGUAAAGGCCUACCAAGGCGACGAUCAGUAGCUGGUCUGAGAGGACGACCAGCCACACUGGAACUGAGACACGGCCCAGACUCCUACGGGAGGCAGCAGUGGGGAAUUUUGGACAAUGGGCGAAAGCCUGAUCCAGCAAUGCCGCGUGUGUGAAGAAGGCCUUCGGGUUGUAAAGCACUUUUGUCCGGAAAGAAAUCCUUUACUCUAAUACAGUCGGGGGAUGACGGUACCGGAAGAAUAAGCACCGGCUAACUACGUG
rnacentral:rRNA from 1 species